UGGGGAUUCCAGCGAACACAGGGAUGAAUGUGGAUGGCAAGGGUUUUGUGGGGUUUUUAUGCCAGAAUGAAGACCGACUGCAAGGCCAAAACUUGUGGAACUAUUUUCGGCUAGAAAGUCUGUGCGGUCGGUCAAAACUUCAAAGACCCAUAACUCCCGAACCCCUCAACCGAAUGAGCUGGAAUUUGGAUAUGUUGUUCCCCUGAAUGAGAGCUAUCUGGCGAUACUAGAUUUAAAGAUGUACCCCCUGUUU